AAUGAAACUCCCGCUGUGGUGUUGCCACGUGUGAUUAUAAGCUUCAUGAAACUGUACAAAGAGAGUGAACAUUGUUCCAACAGUUUCAAUGCGGGAGGUUUUACCUUGACUAUAGAUACAGUCUCAGCUUACCUUCCCCCUUUUGUCAGGUCAGCUUCAACCAUAACCGUUAAAGAGCAGAGGAGUUCACUGUAACACUACAUGGGCCUCUAAGGUAACCUGAUCUGAUAAUUAAGCCUCUCGAACUUCCACCAUCAGCUAGAAAGUGACAAUUUCAACCAAGACAUGGACCCAUCUACUCGGGUGGUGGGUCUGGAUGCCCAGGGGAACAUGGUUUUCACAGUGGUAAAACCAGUUAUGGGCAUCUUUCAGGUGUCUUCAGAGCAAACAGGUAGUGUUGCACAAGGGGGCAUGGGGCUGCAGGGUUUAUCUGAAAACACACUGAUCCUCCCUCAAGCACAAGGCCAGGCUCAGCUAGACCAGAACCAGGUGGACAUGCACACCAUGCAGCCUCAUAUUCAGCCCCAGAUGCAGGUUGCUGCCCCAGUACAGACUGAGGAUGUGUCCCAGAAUCAGGACCCGCCACCAAAUCCAAGCACAAAUUCCCCGACCCAUAUGCCUUUUGCGGAGGUGUCGUCACUCCUGGAUCCCAACAUGAAAGGCUCUAAGGCUCGGAAGUAUCUCAUCUCGUAUGAUGAAAUUAAACGCCGCCUGCAGGCCCCAGAGAAGAUGUCGCUGCGCUCGUUGGCAGCCUACACUCGGGUCAGCAGAGGCCCGGCCAGCAAGAAAACCCUUCAGGAGUCACUCAAUGUCCUCGGCCUCACUCCAAGCACAACUACCUCCGUAUCCUCCUCGUUCUCCAAACUCACUGAAGGUGACACUGGAGCUUUGUGUGACGAUAUGAAGGACUUUGCCCAUGACUACAUCGACUACGGCAACAUGGCUAAACAGCUCAUCCCCGAGACGAAUACAGUUCAACACUGGUCCAAAAUUAUUGAAACUAAGAACCACCUUGAGGAUAUGAGAAGAUGUUUCAAGGACCCGGUCAACAGCGGUGCGUUUGAUAAUGUCACUCAUGGCCUGGGUCUGGGAAUGUUGGACGUUGCACUGGACAUGGUCAUUAUGGUAAUUGAACAGCAGAUUCGGAUCCUGUCUGGCGCAGCAGCGUCAGACCCAGCUGACUCUGGUCCCCCAAUGCGCCGUAUCCGCAGGCGCCACCGCAAAACCCGCCCCACUGACAACGAGAAGUCGCACAAGGUGUCUGGCGGGGUCAGUGAGCAAGGGAAGGUCAUUUCAAAAGGCAAGGGGCGGGGCAGAGCCAAGAAGAAGAUAAGGCAGGAAACUGGAGUUCCUGGUCCUGUGGAAACUCCUGUAGAGCAAGGCAAACCAGACGAUGUGGAGAGUAAUGUCCUCACCCUGGUUUCAGUAGGAUACGAGACUGUUUCCAGUGGUCUGAAUGCGUCCGGAACUGUUUGACACCCGCUCACAUGACGGGCCUAAAGAACAAAUCAUGGUCCCAUUCAAGAGAAUACUCAGCAGUAGGACACAAACUCUGCACAAGUUGAGCUGGGUUGAGCUCCUGUGAAGGAGAUCACAGUUUUAGUGAGCCCAGCAUCAACGUAUAACGUCACAGCUUGAAGUCCAAGUUGAAGGAAUAGUUUGACAUUUUGGGAAAUACAUUUAUUCUCACAUCUGUACGGUAAAUACAGAGCUGGAGCCAGCAGCUGGUUAGCUGGGCUUAGCAUAAAGACUGGAUAGAGUCCGGCUUGCUAAGCUAAGCUAACCAACUGCUGCUACAUAUGGGAGUGUUAUCCAUCUUUUCGUCAUAGCCUCGGCAAGAAAGCAAUGAAGUGUGUUUCCUAAAAUCUCCACGUAUUCUUCUGAGAGAAUCCUGUUUCUUUAGUAGCAGAUUUUGUAUGUAUGUAGUCUAACUGAGUCCAUAAUAUGUAUUAUUUUUUUUAUGCUAUGUUUUCAGUGAACAGAACAAAAUCCUCAUCGAUGUAUGUAAAAAUGUGAACACUGAGAAAACCUGUCCAUGCACAGGGACAGCCCAUAAUAUAGACGGAUAAUAUCUGAUUAUAUUUUCUGCCGGCAGUACUUCGUCUCCUGUCUCCCUGUUGUAUUUAUUGUUUAGAUUUCCAGUUGAACAUUUAUCGUUCUGUACUAAGUCUGUUUUUACUGGAACCUCAAGAGUUGAGUAAAAUAUAAAGAUUUAAUUUUCCUAACUACUUUGAUUCUGUUAUUGUCCUGUGAGAGAUGUGAUAAAUGGAGCAAGAUGUGCCUAAAUGUGUUGAUAAUUGAGUAAAAAGAGAGAAUUGCUUCAUAUAUUUCAUUUGGGAGUUUAACAUUGAAGCAUUUGGUUAAUUACAGAGCUCUGGAGAGAAGAGAGGCACAGAAAUGUAUUUUAGAAAAGGAAGUGAUAGGUAGAUCAUUUUCAGUCAUUUCACAUAUUCAGAAUCAGAAAUAAAUCAGAAAUACUUUAAUAAUCCCAGGGGGAAAUUACU
rnacentral:lncRNA from 1 species